AGAGUUUGAUCAUGGCUCAGAUUGAACGCUGGCGGCAGGCCUAACACAUGCAAGUCGAGCGGUAGCACAGAGAGCUUGCUCUCGGGUGACGAGCGGCGGACGGGUGAGUAAUGUCUGGGAAACUGCCUGAUGGAGGGGGAUAACUACUGGAAACGGUAGCUAAUACCGCAUAAUGUCGCAAGACCAAAGUGGGGGACCUUCGGGCCUCAUGCCAUCAGAUGUGCCCAGAUGGGAUUAGCUAGUAGGUGGGGUAACGGCUCACCUAGGCGACGAUCCCUAGCUGGUCUGAGAGGAUGACCAGCCACACUGGAACUGAGACACGGUCCAGACUCCUACGGGAGGCAGCAGUGGGGAAUAUUGCACAAUGGGCGCAAGCCUGAUGCAGCCAUGCCGCGUGUGUGAAGAAGGCCUUCGGGUUGUAAAGCACUUUCAGCGGGGAGGAAGGCGUUAAGGUUAAUAACCUUGGCGAUUGACGUUACCCGCAGAAGAAGCACCGGCUAACUCCGUGCCAGCAGCCGCGGUAAUACGGAGGGUGCAAGCGUUAAUCGGAAUUACUGGGCGUAAAGCGCACGCAGGCGGUCUGUCAAGUCGGAUGUGAAAUCCCCGGGCUCAACCUGGGAACUGCAUUCGAAACUGGCAGGCUAGAGUCUUGUAGAGGGGGGUAGAAUUCCAGGUGUAGCGGUGAAAUGCGUAGAGAUCUGGAGGAAUACCGGUGGCGAAGGCGGCCCCCUGGACAAAGACUGACGCUCAGGUGCGAAAGCGUGGGGAGCAAACAGGAUUAGAUACCCUGGUAGUCCACGCCGUAAACGAUGUCGAUUUGGAGGUUGUGCCCUUGAGGCGUGGCUUCCGGAGCUAACGCGUUAAAUCGACCGCCUGGGGAGUACGGCCGCAAGGUUAAAACUCAAAUGAAUUGACGGGGGCCCGCACAAGCGGUGGAGCAUGUGGUUUAAUUCGAUGCAACGCGAAGAACCUUACCUGGUCUUGACAUCCACAGAACUUACCAGAGAUGCAUUGGUGCCUUCGGGAACUGUGAGACAGGUGCUGCAUGGCUGUCGUCAGCUCGUGUUGUGAAAUGUUGGGUUAAGUCCCGCAACGAGCGCAACCCUUAUCCUUUGUUGCCAGCGGUUCGGCCGGGAACUCAAAGGAGACUGCCAGUGAUAAACUGGAGGAAGGUGGGGAUGACGUCAAGUCAUCAUGGCCCUUACGACCAGGGCUACACACGUGCUACAAUGGCAUAUACAAAGAGAAGCGACCUCGCGAGAGCAAGCGGACCUCAUAAAGUAUGUCGUAGUCCGGAUUGGAGUCUGCAACUCGACUCCAUGAAGUCGGAAUCGCUAGUAAUCGUAGAUCAGAAUGCUACGGUGAAUACGUUCCCGGGCCUUGUACACACCGCCCGUCACACCAUGGGAGUGGGUUGCAAAAGAAGUAGGUAGCUUAACCUUCGGGAGGGCGCUUACCACUUUGUGAUUCAUGACUGGGGUGAAGUCGUAACAAGGUAACCGUAGGGGAACCUGCGGUUGGAUCACCU
rnacentral:rRNA from 1 species